rnacentral:rRNA from 1 species
AUCUUUGCAACAAUGGGGCGAAAGCCUGAUGGAGCGACGCCGCGUGAGGGAUGAAGGCCUUCGGGUUGUAAACCUCUUUCACCCGGGAAGAAACACUGCGUAUUAAUCCUAUGCGGUCUUGCUUAACCCGGAGAGGAAGCAGUGGCUAACUCUGUGCCAGCAGCCGCGGUA